GCAGCGGUCCCUAGUGUAGAAAGCACCAUCCAUAUGCAAGUGCAAAUUUUUUUUUAAUAAUAUAAUAUAUUCAAGUUGAACUGUAAUAAAAUGUAUUGUCAGUUUCAGUAGUAACUCUAUUUAAUGUAUAAAAAUAUAGUUUUUAUUUUUGAUAUUUACAAAUUAGUAUAUAAAGUUGUUUAUAUCGAUUCUUUGAUUCAAUUGCCUAAUUAUUCGUAACCAAAGUGUACAUAUUAUUGGAAACUUUAAUUUUGCUUGCUCAAUUAACUACUUCUUACCUUAAAAUAGAAAGAGCAUUGCUAUUUCUUUUAAUUUUCUGUUAUUACCCUGCUCUUUACAUGUAAUCCUGAUUAUUGAAUUUUUAAGCAUGUUCCACAAUUCAAUAAGCAGUGCAUUUUUCUAUGAAAUUGAUUUUAACUCUUAUACCAAAAGAUAUAUUAAUAUUAAAAAGUGGCACUGAUAAACUCUGUUUUCACAAUUUUUGUAAAAUUUAAGAAGUAGACAAUGAAUUUUUUUUAUAUGAAUUACUAGUGUGCAAUAAAUUGUUCUGCAUGAAAUUUCUAGCAGUUAUAUUGGAUAACUAUUAAAUGUGCUCCUGAACUGGUUGUCUGAGUUAACGUUCUUUAUGGCUGUACUCAAGGGGUGGGAAGUUAGGGUCCAAUCAAAGUUUCUCCUGAAAAAUGUUUUUGUUAAUUAGUUUUUUGAAAAAAAAAUUGGGUUACUAAUUAUUUUCAUAGUUUGAACUUUUCGUUUUACAAUCAAUUGAAAUAACCAUUGAUGAUAUGAAACAUAACUUUCAAGACUUAUAAAAAGUUUUGAGCUGCUCCUCUUAAUAAUACUAUUUCUGAUGCCAUAAAAUUGACUCUCCUUUUUAUACUCCAAGCAUUCUCUGAUGUUCAAGUUGGUACAGCAGAAUGACGGAAACGUAAGGAGUGGAACCCACAGCUGCUGCUCCAUCAUCAUUUUUGCAUACUUGCUGUUUCAGCUAUGUGAAAAGUAAUUCUUUUUUUUUCUUCUGCUAAACGAAAUAUGCUGUCAGUAAUGAAAAAGUUUCUUUGUAUUUCUUUUAACCUUUAAUCAACAUUAUUAUUUUUAUACAAAAAAUAGUAUUAAAAAUGAUACAUUCAAUCUUUUGUUUCUGAAACGGAAAGUAUGACUGAUUCAUGAGAAAGUUUCACAUUUAUUAGCAAUAAAUAUGAAUUAUGAAUUUUUUUAAAAUGGAAAAUAUUGUGUUAAAAUUAAUUUUGAUUUUCGUGAAAUACUCUUUGACACACUCUUUAAAUUUGUUUGAUAAAAUAACUAGAUUUUUUCUUAAUUCAGACCAGAAAAAAUGUCAAUGUUCCCUUCAGUAUUUUUUAUUAUUUGUUAGAUAAAUUCUUUCAAAAUAAAUUUUGACUAUGCUGAAAUGUU